rnacentral:rRNA from 1 species
GACGAACGCUGGCGGCGUGCUUAACACAUGCAAGUCGAACGGAAAGACCCUGCUCUUGUGUGUUGCUCGAUUGGCGAGCGGGUGAGUAACACAUGAGUAACCUGCCCCUGACUUUCUGAUAACUUCAGGAAACUGCGGCUAAUACCGCAUAUAAGCUCCUGCUGCAUAUUGUUGGUUGGAAAAUUUCGGCGGUUGUGGCUGGACUCGAGGCUUAUCAGCUUGUUGGUCGAGUAGUGGCUUACCAAGGCUUUGACGGAUAGCCUGCAUGAGAGCGUUAACGGGGACCAUGGGCCUGCGAUACGGAGCAGUCUGGUACGGGACGCAGUAGUCGGGAAUCUUACACAAUGGGCGGAAGUCUGAUGAAGAAACGCUGCGUGCGGGAUGAUCGCCUUCGGGUUGUGAACAGCUUUCGCAUGUGACGAAGAGUGAGUGACGGUAAUGGGUAAAGAAGCACCGGCUAACUACGUG